GCAUAUCAAUAAGCGGAGGAAAAGAAACUAACAAGGAUUCCCCUAGUAACGGCGAGUGAAGCGGGAUGAGCUCAAAUUUAAAAUCUGGCUGGUUUACCAGUCCGAGUUGUAGUUUAAAGAAGCGUUUUCGGUGGCAGUCUCGGUAUAAAUCCUUUGGAAUAGGGUAUCAUAGAGGGUGAGAAUCCCGUCUUUGACUGAGAAUAUGCUACUAUGUGAUACGUUUUCAAAGAGUCGAGUUGUUUGGGAAUGCAGCUCAAAAUGGGUGGUAAAUUUCAUCUAAAGCUAAAUAUUGGCGAGAGACCGAUAGCGAACAAGUACCGUGAGGGAAAGAUGAAAAAGAACUUUGAAAAGAGAGUUAAACAGUGCGUGAAAUUGUUGAAAGGGAAACGCUUGAAACCAGUCAUGCGGUUGGGAAAUCAGUCUCUGACGGGGGGGAAUGGGGGAGUUGUGGACCGCAAGGCCGCUCUUUUUCAUAUCUCUUUUGGCAGGGAUGCACUUUUUCUUCUGCAGGUCAACAUCAGUUUGCUUUGCCGGACAAAACUUGGGGGAAGGUGACAGCUUAGGCUGUGUUAUAGCCCUCGAGCGAUACGGUGGAGCGGACUGAGGUUUUCGCAGCAUGUGCUCUCGGGCAAGGCUGAUUGGGUGCUAUGAGAUCGUUCAGGGUACAAUACAUGUAUUUUGCUCUGUGUCCUUUUUAUACUCGCUCAACUCGGCUCUUCCAUGCUUAGGAUGUUGACAUAAUGGUUUUAAUCGACCCGUCUUGAAACACGGACCAAGGAGUCUAACAUAUAUGCAAGUGUUUGGGUGGCAAACCCAUGCGCGUAAUGAAAGUGAACGUAGGUGCGAUCCGCAAGGUGCAGCAUCGACCGAUCUUGAUAUUUUUGGAUAGAUUUGAGUAAGAGCAUAUAUGCUGGGACCCGAAAGAUGGUGAACUAUGCCUGAAUAGGGUGAAGCCAGAGGAAACUCUGGUGGAGGCUCGUAGCGAUUCUGACGUGCAAAUCGAUCGUCAAAUUUGGGUAUAGGGGCGAAAGACUAAUCGAACC
rnacentral:rRNA from 1 species